rnacentral:rRNA from 1 species
UGGGGAAUAUUGCACAAUGGGCGCAAGCCUGAUGCAGCCAUGCCGCGUGUAUGAAGAAGGCCUUCGGGUUGUAAAGUACUUUCAGCGAGGAGGAUGGCGUUGUGGUUAAUAACCGCAACGAUUGACGUUACUCGCAGAAGAAGCACCGGCUAACUCCGUGCCAGCAGCCGCGGUAAUACGGAGGGGGCAAGCGUUAAUCGGAAUUACUGGGCGUAAAGCGCACGCAGGCGGUCUGUCAAGUCGGAUGUGAAAUCCCCGGGCUCAACCUGGGAACUGCAUCCGAAACUGGCAGGCUAGAGUCUUGUAGAGGGGGGUAGAAUUCCAGGUGUAGCGGUGAAAUGCGUAGAGAUCUGGAGGAAUACCGGUGGCGAAGGCGGCCCCCUGGACAAAGACUGACGCUCAGGUGCGAAAGCGUGGGGAGCAAACA